rnacentral:tRNA from 1 species
UGGCUCAGUGGUUAAGAGCACUGACUCUUCUUCCAGAGGACCUGGGUUCAAUUCCCAG